rnacentral:rRNA from 1 species
GUGGGGAAUCUUCCGCAAUGGACGAAAGUCUGACGGAGCAACGCCGCGUGAGUGAAGAAGGUUUUCGGAUCGUAAAGCUCUUUCGUUAGGGACGAACGUGCUCUUUGUGAAUAAUGAGGAGUAAUGACGGUACCUAAAUAAGAAGCCACGGCUAACUACGUGCCAGCAGCCGCGGUAAUACGUAGGUGGCAAGCGUUGUCCGGAAUUAUUGGGCGUAAAGCGCGCGCAGGCGGGAUAUCAAGUCUGUCUUAAAAGUGCGAGGCUCAACCUCGUGAGGGGACAGAAACUGGUAUUCUUGAGUGUCGGAGAGGAAAGUGGAAUUCCAAGUGUAGCGGUGAAAUGCGGAGAGAUUUGGAAGAACACCAGUGGCGAAGGCGACUUUCUGGACGAUGUCUGACGCUGAGGCGCGAAAGCUAGGGGAGCGAACGGGAUUAGAAACCCUUGUAGUCC